CACUGGCCACAGUAGGCUCUCUGCGGACGAGAAGAGCAGCUGUCAAGCCCGGGCCUGGGGGACCCCCAGAGCCUGUGCUGCAUUGGGGGGACCCCGCUAAGCACUGGGGCUCAAUGCACCUUCACUGAUGUCCUCAAAAGAGCCUCAAAUUCCUGCUGAAGAAUAUAAAACAGAGCCCAUGUGAACUGAGCUCUUGCAGGAAAAUGGUGAGGCCCUUCCGUGCGGGCACACGGCCGCACCUGCGGGGCCAGGAGGCCCCGAGCAACCAGGUUCUCACCAGGAAGGAGCUGCGCUUGGAAACCGGGGCCUGAGGGGGCUCACACACCUUGGUUGCGGCAGGAUGGCUGGGCAGUGCCCAACACACAGUGGGUGUCCAAUAAAUGUUUGCUCAGGGCAAGUAAACACACACACACACAUUUUUAACUUUUAACUUUGCUAACAGGAGAAAGAAUUUGUUCCAGGUCAUCCACAUUGCCUGAACUGUCCCUCCCGCAAGGAGUCACUUGGGUCAUGGGGCGCCACCGGGAAGGGCCUGAAGCACAGUGGGGGGCAGCAAGGGCCAGAUGAGGGGGUAGCUCCCCAAGACCUCUGACUCUGGCCAAGCUAGUUUAAUACCCACACUGGUACUUUCACCCAAGUGGGGCUACAGAUGAACGCUAGACUCAGAAUUCAAAGGACCUUCAGCUUUUUAUUUUUAUGCUUUUACUGGAAUAAAGUUGAUACAUAAGACCG